GGUUCGUCAUUUCAUCAAUCGAUAAUCGCAAUCAUCUUCGAGAAUCGCAGUCUUGCCUUGAUAAAUUUGAAAUCUCUAUCAGUUAUGGACGUGCCGUGACAAAUUGCCCAAUCGUGUUCAAGUCGUAUACCGUAUUGUUUGCGAUUAUUAGUAUUUAAGUGCGAAUUUUGGACAUAAAAAGGCGCGAGUGUCAUGAAGUAUUGAGUGCUUGCCAAAAAUAACGUAAAUAUUAAACGUUAUGUGCAAUAAUUACGUAUCAGUGGUGCGAUUUCAUCAUCGACGAAACCCUGCUUUGACGUGCUCGGGAUGAAGAAUUUCUCUUUGUACAUUUCACAUUAUUUUGUCAUCGAAAUACAACAAUCGACAGUACUACCGUCAAUCUUUUCGAGGACUGUACGUGUCUCAUACUAAUGGAAUCCAUGGAAUUGCGCGUCAUUGCUAUCACUUUUAAGCGUAAGUACGUUGCAUAACUGUAUUUCCGGCUUCGCACAUAGUGUGUAAGAGAAAUGCCCAUCUUUCUUCAAUCUGACAGGUUUAAGAAUCGGUAUUGCGUAUCGGUGAAAUAAAAAUUUUGUAAGAGCCACUAAAGUACGAAAAAUAUUUCGUAGAGUAUCAUCGUAAUAAUGGAUAUAAAUCAUACACUAUCGCGUAAUAAGAGAAGAGCAUUUUAAUGUGAUCAGAUAACGUGAUGCAAUGUUUUAUUCCUAUUCUUUUAUUCUUUAUCUUGAA